CCUCAGGACGACAUUAUUAAAAAGGACAAAGUGCUCCGGGAUUGGCAACAACCUGAACAGGGUCAGACAAAGAGCAGACAAGAUAUGCCUGCUGAUGGUUAGCUGAGAAGUGCCUAAGGAAAAGGAGGCGUGCAGCCAUGGCUGCCAGGGUGCUGCUUUGGAGCAGAGCGAGAGCCACGGUGUGCCGCCCCUGGACAGGUGCAAGAUGAGGUCUCAUGUAGCUCAGGCUAGAAUCCAACACACUAUCCAGAGGAGGACGAUCUUGAUUACAUUCUGAUCCUCCUGUCUCCACCUCCCAAGCCUAUACCACAGGUAUGUACAUAUAUACACCUUCUCAGUCCCCUGUAACAAUACCAUUCCCUGUUAUCCACAAAGGAGGGAAGAUGGACUUUUAUGCAUGUCUUUCAAAGAGAGGCUGCCCUUUGAAUGCCCCUGCUGGAGCAUUUAAGUCCGGGAUAUCAGUAGCUAGACACUGUCCUUGCUGGUCUGCCUGCUUUCACUCUGUACUCUCUGCUCAGUAGCCAGAGAGAGCAAAGCGAUCUUUUGAAAGGUGAGUCAUCUCAUGUCCUACAACGACAAUGGAUUUGAGUGACACAUAUAUUCCAAAGUCCUUAGGGAACCUGAACAACCCUACGUAACCUAACUUGACCUCACUCUGAUCUUGCAUACCUUAGUAUUUAACCACUUCCGGCUACAGGCUCUGUAUUCCAGCGCGUUGGUCUCUUAGCUCUGCACUGUGCAAGCUGAGUUUGCUCUCAUCUCAAGGCUUUUAUAUUAGCUGCUCUGCCUCACACACAUGCACAUGCACGCACACAUACACAGGCAGACAGACAGACAGACAGACAGACAGACAGACAGAGGCCUGCUGCUCACUUUUCUCUAGCUUGUGCUCAGAUGUCCUCCUCCCCUUAGGUCAGACCUUUCUGGCCACCUCCUCUAAAGUGCCCUCCUUGUCACAAAAGUCAUCCUUUAUCACUGCUUUCCCCCCUAUGUCGACUGUUUAUCACCCACUUGCCUAAUGGACUGCAGACUCACUGAGACUGGAAGGAUGCCUCAGGUCUCCUUCACUUCUGAAUGUCUGAUACCUGUGGCCUUUGGAAGCUUACUAGGGUUGGAUAAGUCAUCAGAGCAGAGCACCAUGAUUGAAUUCUGGAGGCUUCGUAGAAGGAGCGAAUGCCAGAAGAGUCUGUCCCGUUCCAGUGAUGCCUCGUACCACUCUAGAACAUUGCUAGCAGAGCAGCAUCCCCAGACAUGGCCCUUACCCUUGGACCAAACCCUGAGCCAAGACAAACCUCUUUUCUUUAUGUUUACCCAUUAUGUGUCAUUGUGUUAUUAGCAAGAGAAGGCUAUGAUUGGGGAUGCUUAACAUUUUUAGGACUUAGCCAGGCAUAUACACAACAGUGAUUUGGGCAUUGGAAAUGUCGGACUGCCUCUCCCUCAGAUGCUAACCUUAGGAGACCUGUUGGUUUGGGACAUAAAUUGAGACAACCAGGCAGGGGCUGCCAGGGCUCAUGUGGGUGUACAUGAGGCCUUUGAAGUUGAAGAGGAAAGCUUACAAACACAUACAGACUGAAAAGAGAACCAGACUUGGGUUUCAGGUGGCAUACUGGAGUUAGAAGCGAGAGUUUUCUAGACUGAUGGAGAAUAUACUUAAGGUGGAAGGGGAGCCUGUGGAGGUGGCUGAGAUGUGACCUGGAAUUGCUGAAAGAUUUGUAUGGUGGGUAGCUUGUAAGGGGCUUGAGACACAACCCUCAGAGAGAAACUCCUGCAGUCACCAGGGACUGAAAGGAAGAAAGGUCUGGUAGUAGAUGGACACUCUCAGAGAGCGAAAAGAGGUGAGGUGGCUCCUCACAGGCAGUGGGUGUCAUCUGGGUGUGCUCUUGUGUCCUACUGGUUUAGUAGGUUUUGCUUCAUCUGUUCCAGCCAUAGGGUGACUCUGAGUGUGCCUCUGCCCCACGCCCCAGCAAUACAACCAUUUGAAUAGACAGUGUUUGCACAUACACAGUUUUGGGUUUUGGUAUUUGUUUUUGUUUUUAAAAAUAUGUGUGGUAUUCUUUACUGUUCUUAUGUGAAAGCCUGACCUGGGAUUCCACCUAAUCCAACCUGACAGUUAGACAUUUUAAAACAGUGCUGACAGGAGCUGGAAAGAUGUCUCCAGGGUAAAGAGCAUGUAGUGAUCUGGUAAAACACUUGAGUUUGGUCCCCAGUGACUCUUUCAGGUGGCUUACAAUCACCUGUCACUUCAGCCCCAGCGGGUGCAAUGCCCUCUUGUGGACUUAAAUAGCUCUGUGCACAUGCUUAUACACACAUACACAUACACAUACACAUACACAUACACAUACACAUACACAUACACACACACACACACACACACAUGCACAAUUUGCAUGUAUGUGCACACAUGCACAAAGAAAUUAAAAAAAUAUUUUUAAAAACAGUGUUGAAAACAAGCCCAAGAUUAUCUUUCCCCUUCUUGCUAUAAUCUGGAUGUUGAAUGUCCUCCCAAGGUCCCAUGUGCUCAAGGCUUGAUCCCCACAGUGCAUGGGGAAGUAUUGGAGUCUUUAGGAGUUUGGACCUGGUGGGAGGUUCUUAAGUUAAGUCAUGCCCUUAUAGGGGAUGAUAAUGGUUGAUUUUGUGUGUUAACUUGACACAAGCUAGAGACAUCAGAAAAGAAGGAGUCUUCGUGAAGAAAGGCACGCGCUAAUAGCCAUACACAUAAAAGCUGAAUCUAAAAGAAAUAAAAAUAGGAAAAAAGAAAUAAAAAAAUAAUUUUCAUGCUUCUAGAAGAAUGCUGACUUGGGAUUUCUUAUAUUAAAAUAGGUCAGUAAUAAUUUAACUGUUCAAUUAUUAUAUAUGAUACAUUAUAUAUAAUGUAUGUAUAUAUUAUAUAUCAUAAUAUAAUUAUAAAUUAAUAGUUCAGUAAUAAUUUGGUGUAAAAAAUUGUAAAUAUUAUGGGAGUUUCAGAAAGAGAUAUGGUAAGGCCUGACAUGGUGAUGUUCAUCUAUGAUUUUAGCAUGCUUUGAGUGAAAACAGAGGAUCACAGCUCAAAAUUAGUGCAGGGCACAAAGCGAGAUCUUGUCUCAAAAUCAAAAGGGAAACAUGUUCCACCUCCAGAAAAGUCAGAAAAUGGGACAUGUCACCCCACGCUGACAGAGUCACUGUAGACACUUGGGUUUCUAUGCUUGAUGAUUUUAGGAAAUACAGAUGAAGAAUGUCUUGCUUUCAGGUUGAAAGCUAGUACACUCAGAAACAUGAAUCAAAAUUAAGACCUCACCUGGGAUCUUCAGGACUAAGCAGGGCCACCACACCUGCCUCCUGCCUCCUAUAUAGACAGAGGAAUGUCCUGGGGCCAUCAAUCAGUCCUUUUGUGAUGCCACCUUUUAUUGGUUCACUGCUGUCUUUACAAGGACCAAAGGGCUCCUAGAAAUAACCUUGGGGUAAAUAGGGCUGGGCAAUAUCAGGAAACAACAAGGUAUCCAAGGAGCCAUGAAAUCUGUAAGAGGCCUUGAUCCCAGACCUGAAUUCUGAGGUAGAGCUCUCAGCUGCCCCCUCCAGAACUUGCCUUCGGAUGCAGGUAUGCUGGGAGCAUCAUCUGGGGUAGGGGAUGCAGCUCUGGAUGCAGGCUGCAUCUUUGGUGGGAGCUUGAACUGCAGAUGGAUCUACGAAGUGGGAGGAGGUACUAGAGCUUAUCGCUGGAGCUGAGUCUGUUGUGUCUUCAAAGGCUACAAAUUGAAUUAGGUCUGUGGCUUUUUUUUUUUUUUUAUGGAAAUGUUGCUGCAGUCCAGGCUUGGCUAGCCAGCAUUCUACCCAGAACUUCCCUAAGCUUGAUCAAGACUGCAGAGGAGCUGGGAAGACAUUAGAGGAGCUGGUUUGAGGAAGGGAGCCAACAUCUGGUAGGCCUGAGCACACAGGAUCACCAGAGGCAGGAGCAGUAACAGGGACAUGAUCACUUGUGGUAGUUUGAAUUGAAAUGUGUCCCUAUAAGCUCAGGCUCUGGCACUAUUGGGGAGUGUGCUCUUGUUGGAGAGGUGUGUCUCUAGGGGUGGGUUUUGAGGUUCAGAAGCCUGGCUAGUAUGACGGUCUCUAACCCUAACAUAACCCUAAUUCUAACAUAUGACAGUCUCUUCCUGCUGUCUGUGGAUUCAAAUGUAGAACUAUCAGCUACCUCUUUAACAUCAUGUCUGCCUGCAUGCCACCAUGCUUCCCUUCAUGAUGAUAAUGAACUGAAACUCUGAACUGUAAGCCAGCCCCAAAUAAAUGUUUGUUUGUUUGUUUGUUUGUUUUUAUGAGAGUUGUCAUGGAUACUGGGCAGUGUUGGCAUAUUCUUUUAAUUCUAGAACCCAAGAGGCAGAGGCAGGCAGAUCUGAGUUCAAGGCUAGCCUGGUGUACAAGCAAGCUCUAGGACAGCAAAGACUACACAGAGAAACCCUGUCUUGGAAAAAACAAUAAACAAAAGAGUUGCUAUGGUCAUGAUGUUUCUUCACAACUCUAAAACCCUAAUAAAGAUGUUUGUGCUGGUCUAGUGAGCAUGGGCCCACCCACCCACUUCACAGGAGUUUCUAGAUGCUCUUGGGGAUGCUCCUGAGGGCAUCUAGCCCACCUGUUCUUCAAACACACUGGGAUCUGGUACUCCUUCAAGUGAAUCCUUUGUGCCAGCCCCACACAUUGCUCAAAAGUCAGAUACAUACUCCGAAAAUAUGAUUCCAACUUACACCUUGUUCCUUGAUGUAUUCGGUGAGCUCCUUGCUUGGAGUCUUGGGGGGGAUUUGUGGCCCUGGAGGGACUCAGGGACCCAGAACUGGGAGACAUGAUACAUUUGAGGGACGUGAGUAAAACUGGAAGCCUGAGUUCACU